rnacentral:rRNA from 1 species
AUUUUGCGCAAUGGGCGAGAGCCUGACGCAGCAACGCCGCGUGGAGGAUGAAGGUCCUUGGAUUGUAAACUCCUGUCAGCAGGGAAAAAGGGAUAGGCGCUAAUACCGCUUAAACUUGAUUGUACCUGCAGAGGAAGCCCCGGCUAACUCUGUUCCAGCAGCCGCGGUAAUACAGAGGGGGCGAGCGUUAUUCGGAAUUAUUGGGCGUAAAGGGCGCGUAGGCGGCCAUUCAAGUGACGGGUGAAAGCCCUCGGCUUAACCGAGGAACUGCCUGUCAGACUGGGUGGCUUGAGACCGGGAGAGGUGAGUGGAAUUCCCAGUGUAGCGGUGAAAUGCGUAGAUAUUGGGAGGAACACCAGUGGCGAAGGCGGCUCACUGGACCGGAACUGACGCUGAGGCGCGAAAGCGUGGGGAGCAAACAGG